GACGAACGCUGGCGGCGUGCUUAACACAUGCAAGUCGAACGGAAAGGCCCUGCUUUUGUGGGGUGCUCGUGUGGCGAACGGGUGAGUAACACGUGAGUAACCUGCCCUUGACUUUGGGAUAACUUCAGGAAACUGGGGCUAAUACCGGAUAGGAGCUCCUGCUGCAUGGUGGGGGUUGGAAAGUUUCGGCGGUUGGGGAUGGACUCGCGGCUUAUCAGCUUGUUGGUGGGGUAGUGGCUUACCAAGGCUUUGACGGGUAGCCGGCCUGAGAGGGUGACCGGCCACAUUGGGACUGAGAUACGGCCCAGACUCCUACGGGAGGCAGCAGUGGGGAAUAUUGCACAAUGGGCGGAAGCCUGAUGCAGCAACGCCGCGUGCGGGAUGACGGCCUUCGGGUUGUAAACCGCUUUCGCCUGUGACGAAGCGUGAGUGACGGUAAUGGGUAAAGAAGCACCGGCUAACUACGU
rnacentral:rRNA from 1 species